CCAAUAGCGUAUAUUAAAGUUGUUGCAGUUAAAAAGCUCGUAGUUGAAUUUCGGGAUCAAUUUGUUGGUCGUGCUAUUGUACGUACUGGUAUUAUUGAUUCCUACCUUCUGACGAACCAUGAUGUCAUUAAUUUGGUGUCUUGGGGAAUCAGGACUGUUACUUUGAAAAAAUUAGAGUGUUUAAAGCAGGCUCACGCUUGAAUACAUUAGCAUGGAAUAACGAAAUAGGACGUUUGAUUCUAUUUUGUUGGUUUCUAGGAUCGACGUAAUGAUUAAUAGGGAUUGUUGGGGGCAUUAGGAUUCAAUUGUCAGAGGUGAAAUUCUUGGAUUUAUUGAAGACUAACUACUGCGAAAGCAUUUGCCAAGGAUGUUUUCAUUAAUCAAGAACGAAAGUUAGGGGAUCGAAGACGAUCAGAUACCGUCGUAGUCUUAACCAUAAACUAUGCCGACUAGGGAUCGGAUGAUGUUAAUUUUUUAAUGACUCAUUCGGCGCCUUACG
rnacentral:rRNA from 1 species